UGGGGAAUCUUCCGCAAUGGACGAAAGUCUGACGGAGCAACGCCGCGUGAGUGAAGACGGCCUUCGGGUUGUAAAGCUCUGUGAUCCGGGACGAAAGAGCCUGAGGUAAAUAGCCUAAGGAAGUGACGGUACCGGAAAAGCAAGCCACGGCUAACUACGUGCCAGCAGCCGCGGUAAUACGUAGGUGGCAAGCGUUGUCCGGAAUUAUUGGGCGUAAAGCGCGCGCAGGCGGCUUACUAAGUCCAUCUUAAAAGUGCGGGGCUUAACCCCGUGAUGGGAUGGAAACUGGAAAGCUGGAGUAUCGGAGAGGAAAGUGGAAUUCCUAGUGUAGCGGUGAAAUGCGUAGAGAUUAGGAAGAACACCGGUGGCGAAGGCGACUGUCUGGACGAAAACUGACGCUGAGGCGCGAAAGCGUGGGGAGCAAACAGG
rnacentral:rRNA from 1 species